UGGGGAAUCUUCCGCAAUGGACGAAAGUCUGACGGAGCAACGCCGCGUGAGUGAUGACGGCCUUCGGGUUGUAAAGCUCUGUUAAUCGGGACGAAUGGUUCUUGUGCGAAUAGUGCAAGGAUUUGACGGUACCGGAAUAGAAAGCCACGGCUAACUACGUGCCAGCAGCCGCGGUAAUACGUAGGUGGCAAGCGUUGUCCGGAAUUAUUGGGCGUAAAGCGCGCGCAGGCGGAUUGGUCAGUCUGUCUUAAAAGUUCGGGGCUUAACCCCGGGAUGAGAUGGAAACUGCCAAUCUAGAGUAUCGGAGAGGAAAGUGGAAUUCCUAGUGUAGCGGUGAAAUGCGUAGAUAUUAGGAAGAACACCAGUGGCGAAGGCGACUUUCUGGACGAAAACUGACGCUGAGGCGCGAAAGCCAGGGGAGCGAACGGG
rnacentral:rRNA from 1 species